UUUUCAAAUAUAAACAGUCAAGCCCAAUGUAACACAUUUCAGUCAACUAGUCCACCAUCUACACUGCGGUGGUCUCAUAAGAUUAAACUGGAACAUAAAUAGAAACUUGAUAAACAGUAUAUGGCCCUUGAUAUUGGCAUUGCAGCUCAACUAGAGGAAAUGACUGAUGCUCAUUAGUGGUUCUGGAACAUUUGAUUUACCUUAUAAAAAAUAAAUAAGUGAAAAUAUUGUGAUAUAUCACUGCACUGAUCACCCAAAUGAUGCAAAUCUUCUCUAGGCUCCGCAGGGAGGGGGCAUUGUGACAUAUUUCUGAACCGAUCAUCCAGGAGAUAUAAGUAUUCUCCAGGAUUUGACAAAAGAGCUUCGGAAGGUGUUGGGAGAGACUCAGCCGGAAUUUCACGGACGGACAAGGGCACAGAGAGGACAGCGGUCUCCGUUGCACGUCAGCCUGGGUGCGCAAUGAGCGCAGGUCUAGCCAGGAGGCCGGCAAAGAGAGCUAGAGGUCUGCGUUCUGCCUC
rnacentral:lncRNA from 10 species